GACGAACGCUGGCGGCGUGCUUAACACAUGCAAGUCGAACGGAAAGGCCCUGCUUUUGUGGGGUGCUCGAGUGGCGAACGGGUGAGUAACACGUGAGUAACCUGCCCUUGACUUUGGGAUAACUUCAGGAAACUGGGGUAAUACCCGAAAAGAACCUCUGCUGCCUGGGGGGGGGUGGGAAAUUUCGGCGGUUGGGGAUGGACUCGCGGCUUAUCAGCUUGUUGGUGGGGGAGUGGCUUACCAAGGCUUUGACGGGUAGCCGGCCUGAGAGGGUGACCGGCCACAUUGGGACUGAGAUACGGCCCAGACUCCUACGGGAGGCAGCAGUGGGGAAUAUUGCACAAUGGGCGGAAGCCUGAUGCAGCAACGCCGCGUGCGGGAUGACGGCCUUCGGGUUGUAAACCGCUUUCGCCUGUGACGAAGCGUGAGUGACGGUAAUGGGUAAAGAAGCACCGGCUAACUACGUG
rnacentral:rRNA from 1 species